rnacentral:rRNA from 1 species
GAACGUGCCUSAGAGUAACUGUUCACGCAGUSACGGUAUCCAACCAGAAAGUCACGGCUAACUACGUGCCAGCAGCCGCGGUAAUACGUAGGUCGCAAGCGUUAUCCGGAUUUAUUGGGCGUAAAGCGAGCGCAGGCGGUUGCUUAGCGUCUGAUGUGAACCUUCGGCUUAACCGAAGAAGUGCAUCGGAAACCGGGCGACUUGAGUGCAGAAGAGGACAGUGGAACUCCAUGUGUAGCGGUGGAAUGCGUAGAUAUAUGGAAGAACACCAGUGGCGAAGGCGGCUGUCCGGUCUGCAACUGACGCUGAGGCUCGAAAGCAUGGGUAGCGAACAGGAUWAGAUACCCUGGUAGUCCAUGCCGUAAACGAUGAGUGCUAGGUGUUGGAGGGUUUCCGCCCUUCAGUGCCGGAGUAACGCAUUAAGCACUCCGCCUGGGGAGUACGACCGCAAGG